CGGCAACAGCUCAAAUUUGAAAUCUGCCCGCAAGGGCCGAGUUGUAAUUUGUAGAGGAUGCUUUUGGUGAGGUGCCUUCCGAGUUCCCUGGAACGGGACGCCAUAGAGGGUGAGAGCCCCGUCUGGCUGGAUACCGAUCCUCUGUAAAGCUCCUUCGAC
rnacentral:rRNA from 1 species